rnacentral:rRNA from 1 species
GAUGAACGCUGGCGGCGUGCUUAACACAUGCAAGUCGAACGAGAAGUGAAGACGGAAACCUUCGGGCGGAAGGCUUUAUUUCGAGUGGCGGACGGGUGAGUAACGCGUGGGUAACCUGCCUCAUACAGGGGGAUAACAGUUGGAAACGACUGUUAAUACCGCAUAAGACCACAGCACCGCAUGGUGCGGGGGUAAAAACUCCGGUGGUAUGAGAUGGACCCGCGUUCGAUUAGCCAGUUGGCGGGGUAACGGCCCACCAAAGCGACGAUCGAUAGCCGAUCUGAGAGGAUGACCGGCCACAUUGUGACUGAGACACGGCCCAAACACCUACGGGAGGCAGCAGUGGGGAAUAUUGCACAAUGGGGGAAACCCUGAUGCAGCGACGCCGCGUGAGUGAAGAAGUAUUUCGGUAUGUAAAGCUCUAUCAGCAGGGAAGAAAAUGACGGUACCUGAGUAAGAAGCCCCGGCUAACUACGUG